rnacentral:rRNA from 1 species
GACGAACGCUGGCGGCGUGCUUAACACAUGCAAGUCGAACGGAAAGGCCUCUUUCGGGGGGUACUCGAGUGGCGAACGGGUGAGUAACACGUGAGUAACCUGCCCUUGACUUUGGGAUAACUUCAGGAAACUGGGGCUAAUACCGGAUAGGAGCUCCUGCUGCAUGGUGGGGGUUGGAAAGUUUCGGCGGUUGGGGAUGGACUCGCGGCUUAUCAGCUUGUCGGUGGGGUAGUGGCUUACCAAGGCUUUGACGGGUAGCCGGCCUGAGAGGGUGACCGGCCACAUUGGGACUGAGAUACGGCCCAGACUCCUACGGGAGGCAGCAGUGGGGAAUAUUGCACAAUGGGUGGAAGCCUGAUGCAGCAACGCCGUGUGCGGGAUGACGGCCUUCGGGUUGUAAACCGCUUUCGCUCAUGACGAAGCUUUGUGUGACGGUAGUGGGUAAAGAAGCACCGGCUAACUACGUG